rnacentral:rRNA from 1 species
GAUGAACGCUGGCGGCGUGCCUAAUACAUGCAGGUCGAGCGAACGGACGAGAAGCUUGCUUCUCUGAUGUUAGCGGCGGACGGGUGGGUAACACGUGGAUAACCUACCUAUAAGACUGGGAUAACUUCGGGAAACCGGAGCUAAUACCGGAUGAUAUUUUGAACCGCAUGGUUCAAAAGUGAAAGACGGUCUUGCUGUCACUUAUAGAUGGAUCCGCGCUGCAUUAGCUAGUUGGUAAGGUAACGGCUUACCAAGGCAACGAUGCAUAGCCGACCUGGGAGGGUGAUCGGCCACACUGGAACUGAGACACGGUCCAGACUCCUACGGGAGGCAGCAGUAGGGAAUCUUCCGCAAUGGGCGAAAGCCUGACGGAGCAACGCCGCGUGAGUGAUGAAGGUCUUCGGACCGUAAAACUCUGUUAUUAGGGAAGAACAUAUGUGUAAGUAACUGUGCACAUCUUGACGGUACCUAAUCAGAAAGCCACGGCUAACUACGUG